GAAUAUUCUUGAAGUCUGAAAGAUGGAUAGAAAAGAGUCGUGUGUACAUCAUUGGGAAUGGAGGGAAAUAAAUGACUGGAUGGUCGCUGCUUUUUAAGUUUCAAAUUGACAUUCCAGACAAGCGGUGCCUGAGCCCGUGCCUGUCUUCAGAUCUUCACAGCACAGUUCCUGGGAAGGUGGAGCCACCAGCCUCUCCCUGAAUAACUGGGAGAUGAAACAGGAAGCUCUAUGACACACUUGAUCGAAUAUGACAGACACUGAAAAUCACGACUCAUCCCCCUCCAGCACCUCUACCUGUUGCCCGCCGAUCACAGCCGGAAUGCAGCUGAAAGAUUCCCUGGGGCCUGGUUCCAACUGCCCACUGUGGACUCUGAGGCCUCUGCAUUUGCGGGUGGUCUGCCUGUGAUAUUUUGGUCAUGGGCUGGUCUGGUCGGUUUCCCAUUUGUCUGGCCAGUCUCUGUGUGUCUUAAUCCCUUGUCCUUCAUUAAAAGCAAAACUAAAGAAAACAGAA
rnacentral:lncRNA from 1 species